rnacentral:lncRNA from 1 species
CGAGUUCUUUUUCUCAUUUAAUCAAACAAAGAGUAAAACCUAAUUAUAUUGUUCUAUUAUGCCCUGAGAGUGUAAUGUUGGAACGAAUCGUUGUCAACGUUCACAAGAACCAAAACCGGAACAACAUUAAACUACUCAGUUUCGCCCUAACAAUAUAAAUUUGCAUCGAGUACUUUUUCUCAUUUAAUCAAAAAAAAGUAAAACCUAAUUAUAUUGUUCUAAUAUACCCCGAGAGUGUAAUGUUGGAAGGAAUCGAUGUCAACGUUCACAAGAAUCAAAACCGAAACAACAUUAGACUACUCACUUGCGCCCUAAUAUUAUAACUUUGCAACGAGUACUUUUUCUCAUUCAAUCAAACAAAGAGUAAAUCCUAAUUAUAUUGUUCUAUUAUGCCCCGAGAGUGUAAUGUUGGAAGGAAUCGAUGUCAACGUUCACUAGAACCAAAACCGGAACUGCAUUAGACAACUCACUUGCGCCGUAACAGUAUAAAUUUGCAACGAGUGCUUUUUCUCAUUCUAUCGAACAAAGAGUAAAAGCUAAUUAUAUUUUUCUAUUAUGAUGCCCCGAGAGUGUAAAUUUCGAACGAAUUGAUGUCAACGUUCACAAGAACCAUAACCGAAACAACAUUAGACUACGCAGUUGCGCCCUAACUGUAUAACUAUGCAACGAGUACUUUUUCUCAUUCAAUCAAACAAAGAAUAAAAGCUAAUUAUAUUGUUGUAUUAUGCCCCGAGUGCGUAAAUUUUCGACAAAUCGAUGUCAAUGUUCAUAAGAACCAAAACCGGAACAACAUUAGGCUACUCAGUUGCGCCCUAACAGUAUAAAUUGGCAACGAGGGCUUUUUCUCAUUCUAUCGAACGAAGAGUAAAAAAUGUGUCGGUUCUAUUAUGCCCCGAGAGGGUAAAUUAGAUGUCCACAUUCACAAGAACGAAAACCGGAACAACAUUAAGCUACUCAAUUGCGGCCAAACAGCAUAAAUUUGGAACGAGUAAUUUUUCUCAUUCAAUCGAACAAAGAGUAAUACCUAAUUAAAAUGUUCUAUUAUGCCCCGAGAGGGUAAAUUAGAUAUCCACGUUCACAAGAACGAAAACCGGAACAACAUUAGACUACUCAAUUGCGCCCUAACAGUAUAAAUUUGCAACGUGUACUUUUUCUCAUUCAUUCAAACAAAGAGUAAAACCUAAUUAAAAUGUUCUAUUAUGCCCUGAGAGGGUAAAUUAGAUGUCCACGUUCACAAAACGAGAACCGGAACAACAUUAGGCUACUCAAUUGCGCCCUAACAUUAUAAAUUUGCAACGAGUACUUUUUCUCAUUCAAGCGAAUAAAGAGCAAAACCUAAUUAAAAUAUUCUAUUAUGCCCCGGGGAGGUAAAUUAGAUGUCCACGUUCACAAGAACGAAAACCGGAACAACAUUAAGCUACUCAAUUGCGGCCAAACAGUAUAAAUUUGGAACGAGUACUUUUUCUCAUUCAACCGAAUAAAGAGUAAUACCUAAUUAAAAUGUUAUAUUAUGCCCCGAGAGGGUAAAUUAGAUAUCCACUGUCACGCCCCGAGACCGAUACCAAUUUGGUCCGGCCCGGGCGCGUCGAACAGACGCCGAACGGACAGGACCUACCCCGUCCGCCCAAGGCUAACCAACGGAUCAUGUAUAAGAAUUUACCCAGAAAUCAAUUCAUAAAUACACGA